rnacentral:rRNA from 1 species
CCUACGGGGUGCAGCAGUGAGGAAUAUUGGUCAAUGGCCGUAAGGCUGAACCAGCCAAGUCGCGUGAAGGAAGAAGGAUCUAUGGUUUGUAAACUUCUUUUAUAGGGGAAUAAAGGUAUCCACGUGUGGAUAUUUGCAUGUACCCUAUGAAUAAGCAUCGGCUAACUCCGUGCCAGCAGCCGCGGUAAUACGGAGGAUGCGAGCGUUAUCCGGAUUUAUUGGGUUUAAAGGGUGCGUAGGUUGUUUUUUAAGUCAGCGGUGAAAGUUUGUGGCUCAACCAUAAAAUUGCCGUUGAAACUGGAAGACUUGAGUGUGUUUGAGGUAGGCGGAAUGCGUGGUGUAGCGGUGAAAUGCAUAGAUAUCACGAAGAACCCCGAUUGCGAAGGCAGCUUACUAAACUGUGACUGACAUUGAUGCUCGAAAGUGUGGGUAUCAAACAGGAUUAGAUACCCGUGUAGUC